UAUUCAUGAUGCCUCUAACUUGUUGCUUAGG
rnacentral:piRNA from 1 species